UGUAAACAUCCUUGACUGGAAGCUGGGGGUCGGGAAAAGUGAAGGCUUUCAGUCGGAUGUUUGCA
rnacentral:pre_miRNA from 1 species